GGGCCGUUAGCUCAGUCGGUAGAGCAACUGGCUUUUAACCAGUGGGUCGAUGGUUCGAGUCCAUCACGGCUCA
rnacentral:tRNA from 1 species